rnacentral:rRNA from 1 species
AUUGAACGCUGGCGGCAGGCUUAACACAUGCAAGUCGAGCGGGGUGAUGGUGCUUGCACUAUCACUUAGCGGCGGACGGGUGAGUAAUGCUUAGGAAUCUGCCUAUUAGUGGGGGACAACAUCUCGAAAGGGAUGCUAAUACCGCAUACGUCCUACGGGAGAAAGCAGGGGAUCACUGGUGACCUUGCGCUAAUAGAUGAGCCUAAGUCGGAUUAGCUAGUUGGUGGGGUAAAGGCCUACCAAGGCGACGAUCUGUAGCGGGUCUGAGAGGAUGUUCCGCCACACUGGGACUGAGACACGGCCCAGACUCCUACGGGAGGAAGCAGUGGGGAAUAUUGGACAAUGGGGGGAACCCUGAUCCAGCCAUGCCGCGUGUGUGAAGAAGGCCUUAUGGUUGUAAAGCACUUUAAGCGAGGAGGAGGCUCUUUUGGUUAAUACCCAAGAUGAGUGGACGUUACUCGCAGAAUAAGCACCGGCUAACUCUGUGCCAGCCGCCGCCGUAA